GACGAACGCUGGCGGCGUGCUUAACACAUGCAAGUCGAACGGAAAGGCCCUGCUUUUGUGGGGUGCUCGAGUGGCGAACGGGUGAGUAACACGUGAGUAACCUGCCCUUGACUUUGGGAUAACUUCAGGAAACUGGGGCUAAUACCGGAUAGGAGCUCCUGCUGCAUGGUGGGGGUUGGAAAGUUUCGGCGGUUGGGGAUGGACUCGCGGCUUAUCAGCUUGUUGGUGGGGUAGUGGCUUACCAAGGCUUUGACGGGUAGCCGGCCUGAGAGGGUGACCGGCCACAUUGGGACUGAGAUACGGCCCAGACUCUUACGGGAGGCAGCAGUGGGGAAUAUUGAACAAUGGGCGGAAGCCUGAUGCAGCAACGCCGCGUGCGGGAUGACGGCCUUGGGGUUGUAAACCGCUUUCGCCUGUGACGAAGCGUGAGUGAGGGUAAUGGGUAAAGAAGCACCGGCUACCUACGU
rnacentral:rRNA from 1 species